UACGGGGGGAGCAAGCGUUGUUCGGAUUUACUGGGCGUAAAGGGCGCGUAGGCGGCUUGUCGCGUCGACUGUGAAAACCCGCGGCUCAACCGUGUGGUCUGCAGUCGAUACGGGCAGGCUAGAGUUCGGUAGGGGAGACUGGAAUUCCUGGUGUAGCGGUGAAAUGCGCAGAUAUCAGGAGGAACACCGGUGGCGAAGGCGGCUCUCUGGACCACAACUGACGCUGAGGCGCGAAAGCUAGGGGAGCAAACAGG
rnacentral:rRNA from 1 species